GAUGAACGCUGGCGGCGUGCCUAAUACAUGCAAGUCGAGCGAACGGACGAGAAGCUUGCUUCUCUGAUGUUAGCGGCGGACGGGUGAGUAACACGUGGAUAACCUACCUAUAAGACUGGGAUAACUUCGGGAAACCGGAGCUAAUACCGGAUAAUAUUUUGAACCGCAUGGUUCAAAAGUGAAAGACGGUCUUGCUGUCACUUAUAGAUGGAUCCGCGUUGCAUUAGCUAGUUGGUAAGGUAACGGCUUACCAAGGCAACGAUGCAUAGCCGACCUGAGAGGGUGAUCGGCCACACUGGAACUGAGACACGGUCCAGACUCCUACGGGAGGCAGCAGUAGGGAAUCUUCCGCAAUGGGCGAAAGCCUGACGGAGCAACGCCGCGUGAGUGAUGAAGGUCUUCGGAUCGUAAAACUAUGUUAUUAGGGAAGAACAUAUGUGUAAGUAACUGUGCACAUCUUGACGGUACCUAAUCAGAAAGCCACGGCUAACUACGUG
rnacentral:rRNA from 1 species